AGGACAAAAUCCAGGAUUAAGUUACAGCUCGAGUGGCACAAGCCCUGAGUUCUGAAACCAGCUUUAAGAGGAGUUAAAGGCACCGCAAAGGCUGCGUGAACAAGAAAGGGGAGAUCUGAAGUCCCUUGGAGGAAUGGCACCAUUAAUAAUAACUUGUUUCAAGACUGACUGGUAGUCGUUUUCUAUUAAUAAGUUUGUGUUACUCUAACAAUGUUGUUGCUUAUGUUCCUGCAGUAAUUAAGUUGAAAGUUGGAAGUGACAGCGCCCACUGAGUCACGAUUCAGGAACAGAGGUAGCUGGUGUCCAACAGAGCGAUGAAUCCUCCUAAACACGCCCCUUCUUGGUGUGCGAUCAGAGGAGAGAGAAGCAAAAGUUCAAGGAGUGGGAGUUGAAGCAUGAUGUCUGAGCCUUACUGUGACAGCGGGAGAGAGGUGAGAGCAUCACCAUGGAAACCCACUACGGGCCUGAGUGCAAGUCAAAAACAUUUAUUGUCAGAGUAGCUUUCAGUGUUUUCAUUGGUCUUGCCAUUCUCAGUCCAAGAAAGGACUGAACCUACAGCACACAUACAGAUAGAGCAAUAUGAUACUCUGGGCAUUGCGAGUUUAAUUACAUACACAGUGGUAAUUCAAAGAGCUUUACGCAGGCAUAAUAAAAAAUAGAAGACAUUUAAAAUCAAUUAGGGUCAUAAGUUAAUUUAACUACUGUUAAAAAA
ensembl:lncRNA